UACGGAGGGUGCGAGCGUUGUCCGGAAUCACUGGGCGUAAAGGGCGCGUAGGUGGCGCGAGGAGUCUGUGGUGAAAGCCCGAGGCUCAACUUCGGGUCGGCCGCGGAUACUCUCGUGCUGGAGGGUGGUAGAGGCCAAUGGAAUUCCGGGUGUAGCGGUGGAAUGCGUAGAGAUCCGGAAGAACACCGGUGGCGAAGGCGGUUGGUUGGGCCACACCUGACACUGAGGCGCGACAGCGUGGGGAGCAAACAGG
rnacentral:rRNA from 1 species